ACGAGUUGUUGAAACUCACCAUAACUAAUUUGCAUAACCACAACCUUUCUGUCUGAGGUCAUUAAUGAUGAUGUGGAAGUUAUGAAGAGAAUCCUGUGGAUGAUAAUUUAAAGUGAACCAUCCAAAACUGUCAUAUUAUAAGUUCUUUUGAGUUCAGAAACAAGAGGAUGGUAGAUUCCAAAUACAUCGCAUUAUUUGCAUUCUACAUUAUAAUAAAUAAUAUCUAUGGAAGUGUGACCUCCAUGCAAGGGACAACCGGCAACAAAACUGUCGGGACGGAGGCAAAAACAAAUUCCACAAAUACAUCGCAAGUUAACUUGGGGAAAAAUGUGUUGGAUCCAGCUCUGGGCAUCAAGCUUGAUCUUAAGGCAAAGACGCCUUCUCUAAAUUUAAAUAAAGCCAGUCUAAAAACCCUUUGUACGAUUUUAAAAGACUUAUGUCAAAACCAGUAUGACAGUUGGGGGAAAUGAGAAAAAAAUUCAGCAUAUUUUUGUUAAAGAUGUUCCAAAAAGAAAGCAAAACAAAAUAUUAAGCCAAAUAUAUCACUUUAUUAAUAUAUAAUAUAUUUUUGAUUUGAGUUUCAUAUUGUUAACUCGCCAAAAAGAAGUAUUGCCAUACAGAUUUGUAAUAUUAAAGAACAUUUGCCAAAGGCUUAAAUAAAAUUAUUUCUGGAGACAGAUGAA